rnacentral:tRNA from 1 species
GGGCCUAUAGCUCAGUUGGUUAGAGCAGUGGACUCAUAAUCCAUUGGUCGCAGGUUCGAAUCCUGCUGGGCCCACCA